GGCUCGGCCUCGGCGACUGGCCAGUGAUCGUGACCUCCGCCGUCACCGGCCAGGGGCUGGGCGAAUUGGCUGCGGCGCUCGGCACUUUGGCCGGGCCG
rnacentral:tRNA from 1 species